ACCACCUUAUCUCACGGCCCGAGAAGUGCAGCAGGUAUUUGCAGAGAUUCUCAGCCAUGGCGAGGACAUCACCUGGGAUCUGUGAGUGCCCGCCCAAAAAUCCUUUGUCCCUCACUUAAAAUCUAUAGAUGGCCAAUCCCUGACCUGACAGAUUGCUGCAGAAUCAACGAGACAUUCUAAAAAGGAAAGUUCGAGAAAUAUUUAAUCAGAGACAUAAAUAAUUCUGGACAACGUUUGGACUCUACGUAAAUGCGCCAACGGCCAGUCCCUUUCUGCGUUGUUCUUUGCGGUUAUUGUGAAUGGAGUGACCGACUUGAAGGAGGCAGAGAAUAGCAGAUCCUGGUCGAUCCACCCAGUUUUCCGCUGCCGUCGCUGCGAUGCCGACACGGAUGGAGGGAUGAGCAGCAGCCCAGACUGUUGCGGUAUGUAUGUGGAUCAAAU